GACGAACGCUGGCGGCGUGCCUAAUACAUGCAAGUCGAACGCAGUGGGGACGGGUGAGUAACACGUGGGUAACCUCCCAUCAGAUGGGAUAACACUUGGAAACAGGUGCUAAACCGAUCCUGAUGGAGGGACCCGCGGUGCAUUAGCUAGUUGGUGAGGUAACGGCUCACCAAGGCCACGAUGCAUAGCCGCCCAGAGAGGGUGAUGGGGCCGACUGGGACUGAGACACGGCCGCGAUUCCUACGGGAGGCAGCAGUAGGGAAUAUGCGGCAAUGGACGAAAGUCUGACCGAGCAACGCCGCGUGAGUGAAGAAGGUUUUCGGAUCGUAAAACUCUGUUGUUAGAGAAGCGGUAUCUAACCAGAAAGCCACGGCUAACUACGUGCCAGCCGCCGCGGUAAUAC
rnacentral:rRNA from 1 species